GCUAGUAAUCGCGGAUCAGCAUGCCGCGGUGAAUACGUUCCCGGGCCUUGUACACACCGCCCGUCACACCAUGAGAGCCGGUAAUACCCGAAGCCCGUAGCCCAACCGCAAGGGGGGCGCGGUCGAAGGUAGGACUGGUAAUUGGGGUGAAGUCGUAACAAGGUACC
rnacentral:rRNA from 1 species